GAUGAACGCUGGCGGCGUGCCUAAUACAUGCAAGUCGAGCGAAUGGAUUAAGAGCUUGCUCUUAUGAAGUUAGCGGCGGACGGGUGAGUAACACGUGGGUAACCUGCCCAUAAGACUGGGAUAACUCCGGGAAACCGGGGCUAAUACCGGAUAACAUUUUGAACCGCAUGGUUCGAAAUUGAAAGGCGGCUUCGGCUGUCACUUAUGGAUGGACCCGCGUCGCAUUAGCUAGUUGGUGAGGUAACGGCUCACCAAGGCAACGAUGCGUAGCCGCCCUGAGAGGGUGGUCGGCCACACUGGGACUGAGACACGGCCCAGACUCCUACGGGAGGCAGCAGUAGGGAAUCUUCCGCAAUGGACGAAAGUCUGAUGGAGCAACGCCGCGUGAGUGAUGAAGGCUUUCGGGUCGUAAAACUCUGUUGUUAGGGAAGAACAAGUGCUAGUUGAAUAAGCUGGCACCUUGACGGUACCUAACCAGAAAGCCACGGCUAACUACGUGCCAGCCGCCGCCGUAA
rnacentral:rRNA from 1 species